rnacentral:lncRNA from 1 species
GGCAAUCUAAUAUAUUUCUGUACUGAAUAAUAUAUUUUUGUACUUAAUAUAAUAUAUUUUGGUACUCAAUUGAUAUAUUUAAUUACUAGAUCUAAUAGGUGCAUUACUUGUUUCCAAAGUUUCUCACUUAUUAGUUGUAAACUAUCUCUAUAAAUAGAGAACUCACACAGUGCAUUCUACACACCGAAAUUCACAGUUGAUGCUUCUUGUGCUUUUCUUCUCUUCUCCCUCUUUUGACUUGUGUUGACGAGUCUUUCUUCUUUUUCUACUCCCCUUUUGUAUAUGCAUUAUGUGAAUUAUAUAAGAUGUUUAAGUUGUUGUUGAUUAUCAUUUGAUGUUGUUAUAUCUUGAGAUGUUUACGUGCUGCCUAU